rnacentral:rRNA from 1 species
UUUUCUUCGGACAACGAGUAAAGUGGCGCACGGGUGAGUAACGCGUAAGUAAUCUACCCUUGCAUUUGGGAUAACUACGGGAAGCUGUAGCUAAUACCAGAUACGUUCAUAGAGUUACGACUCUAUGAAGAAAGAUGACCUCUUCUUGAAAGUUAUCGUGCAGGGAGGAGCUUGCGUACCAUUAGCUAGUUGGUAGGGUAAAGGCCUACCAAGGCAACGAUGGUUAGCGGGUCUGAGAGGAUGAUCCGCCACACUGGAACUGAAACACGGACCAGACUCCUACGGGAGGCAGCAGUGAGGAAUAUUGCGCAAUGGGGGAAACCCUGACGCAGCGACGCCGCGUGGAUGAUGAAGGCCUUAGGGUCGUAAAAUCCUGUCAGAUGGGAAGAAAUGCAUGAGGGAAUAAUACCUCUUAUGUUUGACGGUACCAUCAAAGGAAGCACCGGCUAACUCCGUGCCAGCAGCCGCGGUAAUACGGAGGGUGCAAACGUUGUUCGGAAUUACUGGGCGUAAAGCGCGCGUAGGCGGCUUGUUAAGUCAGAUGUGAAAGUCCACAGCUCAACUGUGGAAGUGCAUUUGAAACUGGCAGGCUUGAGUACUGGAGGGGAUGGUGGAAUUCCCGGUGUAGAGGUGAAAUUCGUAGAUAUCGGGAGGAAUACCGGUGGCGAAGGCGACCAUCUGGCCAGAUACUGACGCUGAGGUGCGAAAGCGUGGGGAGCAAACAGGAUUAGAUAC